GAAGCUGACCAGACAGUCGCCGCUUCGUCGUCGUCCUUUCGGGGAGACGGGCGGAGGGGAGGAAAGUCCGGGCUCCAUAGGGCAGGGUGCCAGGUAACGCCUGGGGGGGAAACCCACGACCAGUGCAACAGAGAGCAAACCGCCGAUGGCCCACGUAAGUGGGAUCAGGUAAGGGUGAAAGGGUGCGGUAAGAGCGCACCGCGCGGCUGGUAACAGUCCGUGGCACGGUAAACUCCACCCGGAGCAAGGCCAAAUAGGGGUUCAUAAGGUACGGCCCGUACUGAACCCGGGUAGGCUGCUUGAGCCAGUGAGCGAUUGCUGGCCUAGAUGAAUGGCUGUCCACGACAGAACCCGGCUUAUCGGUCAGUUUCACUU
rnacentral:RNase_P_RNA from 1 species